UUGAAAGCCUCAGCCGACUCUCACCAUAGCCAAACUCCACUGCCAUCUGCCUUCACCAUCGCCAAACACCACUGUCGUCUGCCUUCACCAUCGCCACCACUGCUCACCACCGCCUUCGCCGUCGACCAGAGUCCCACCGGCCACCGGCAUCGACCCAGCCGCGCUAAGUUCGCCCACCGGUUCACCGACGCCGUCGCCCGCCUUCGCCCACCGUCUCCUCCCUCGCCGUCGACCAGUUCUCCCACUGCCUCCUCCUUCGCCGCCGUCGACCAGUUCACCGGUUCGCCACCGCCCUCGACGACUUCUCCCACCGCCGUAACACUAUAACACUGAGUUGCUAUGGAACUAGAAGACUUAUUUCACCCUCUAUAAAGGGAAGUGAGUAUUAGUAUAGAUCCCUAUGAUGUGUUCUGAGAUGCAGAAUGGGCACUUCUGAUUGGUGCAAAACCUCGUGACCCUGGAAUGGAAUGAGCUGCCCUAUUGGACAUAAAUGGGUAGAUCUUUGCUGAACAAGUACCAUCUUACCCAUAAGACCAUAAAUAUUGAAGGAUAAACAAUGUGCUUUAUGUUUCUUUUGGACUUCUAGUUUUAGAGAACUACAAAUUGUUUGUUCCAAAUUUAAUAUAAUUACUUACAUAUCACAGGGAAAAGCUCUGAAUGCUGUUGCAUCACGCAAUGUCAAAGUGAUAGUAGUUGGCAACCCUUGCAAUACCAAGUAACAUUAUACCUUUUCUUUUCUCAUUUAUGCCAAGGUUACUGUUAGUGCCACUGUGUUCAAUAUUAAUUUCCUUUCAUCUUUUCUAGUGCGUUGAUUUGUUUGAAAAAUGCUCCAGGCAUACCAGCAAAGAACUUUCAUGCUUUAACUAAGUUAGAUGAAAACCAAGCAAAAUGCCAGGUAUGAUAAAGUAUCUAAUGUUACCAUCUGGGGAAAUCACUCAACCACUCAGGUUCCUGAUUCUCUAAAUGCUAAAAUAAAUGGAUUGCCUGUAAAAGAGGUUAUUAAAGAGAUACUAAGUGGCUUGAGGAAUAGUUUACAGAAAAGGUCCAGAAGGUUGAAAAUCUGGGGCGUUUAAAUUGUGAUCUCAACAUCUCGACCGCUCGACAAUGCUAAUUUUGCAAAUGUACAAGAAUAAAUUUAGAAUUUGAAGGCUACUAUUGUAUUGUUGUAUAGAUUUUGAAUUGACUAUUAUUGCUUAGUAAAUAUGGAUUGAUAAUGUAUUAUUACUUGAACAUAAUGUGGAUUAAUAAUAUUUUAGAAUUAUGUUAUAUUUUA